GAUGAACGCUGGCGGCGUGCCUAAUACAUGCAAGUCGAGCGGACAGACGAGAGUGCUUGCACUCUCUGACGUUAGCGGCGGACGGGUGAGUAACACGUGGGUAACCUACCUAUAAGACUGGGAUAACUUCGGGAAACCGGAGCUAAUACCGGAUAAUAUUUAGCUUCGCAUGAAGCAAUAGUGAAAGGCGGUUCUGCUGUCACUUAUAGAUGGACCCGCGGUGUAUUAGCUAGUUGGUGAGGUAACGGCUCACCAAGGCAACGAUACAUAGCCGACCUGAGAGGGUGAUCGGCCACACUGGGACUGAGACACGGCCCAGACUCCUACGGGAGGCAGCAGUAGGGAAUCUUCCGCAAUGGACGAAAGUCUGACGGAGCAAUGCCGCGUGAGUGAAGAAGGUUUUCGGAUCGUAAAACUCUGUUGUAAGGGAAGAACAAGUACGUUAGUAACUGAACGUACCUUGACGGUACCUUACCAGAAAGCCACGGCUAACUACGUG
rnacentral:rRNA from 1 species